rnacentral:rRNA from 1 species
UGAACGCUAGCUACAGGCUUAACACAUGCAAGUCGAGGGGCAGCAUGGUCUUAGCUUGCUAAGGCCGAUGGCGACCGGCGCACGGGUGAGUAACACGUAUCCAACCUGCCGUCUACUCUUGGACAGCCUUCUGAAAAGGAAGAUUAAUACAAGAUGGCAUCAUGAGUCCGCAUGUUCACAUGAUUAAAGGUAUUCCGGUAGACGAUGGGGAUGCGUUCCAUUAGAUAGUAGGCGGGGUAACGGCCCACCUAGUCUUCGAUGGAUAGGGGUUCUGAGAGGAAGGUCCCCCACAUUGGAACUGAGACACGGUCCAAACUCCUACGGGAGGCAGCAGUGGGGAAUAUUGGUCAAUGGGCGAGAGCCUGAACCAGCCAAGUAGCGUGAAGGAUGACUGCCCUAUGGGUUGUAAACUUCUUUUAUAAAGGAAUAAAGUCGGGUAUGCAUACCCGUUUGCAUGUACUUUAUGAAUAAGGAUCGGCUAACUCCGUG